AUUGAACGCUGGCGGCAGGCCUAACACAUGCAAGUCGAACGAGUGGCGGACGGGUGAGUAAUGUCUGGGAAACUGCCCGAUGGAGGGGGAUAACUACUGGAAACGGUAGCUAAUCCCGCAUACCAUCGGAUGUUCCCAGAUGGGCUUAGCUAGUAGGUGGGGUAACGGUUCACCUAGGCCACGAUCCCUAGCUGGUCUGAGAGGAUGACCAGCAACACUGGAACUGAGACACGGUCCAGACUCCUACGGGAGGCAGCAGUGGGGAAUAUUGCACAAUGGGCGCAAGCCUGAUGCAGCCAUGCCGCGUGUAUGAAGAAGGCCUUCGGGUUGUAAAGUACUUUCAGCGGGGAGGCGUUACCCGCAGAAGAAGCACCGGCUAACUCCGUGCCAGCAGCCGCGGUAAUUC
rnacentral:rRNA from 1 species